rnacentral:rRNA from 1 species
GUACACUCCUACGGGAGGCAGCAGUGAGGAAUAUUGGACAAUGGGUGGAAGCCUGAUCCAGCCAUCCCGCGUGCAGGAAGACGGCCCUAUGGGUUGUAAACUGCUUUUAUCUGGGGAUAAACCUACUUACGUGUAAGUAGCUGAAGGUACCAGAAGAAUAAGCACCGGCUAACUCCGUGCCAGCAGCCACGGUAAUACGGAGGGUGCAAGCGUUAUCCGGAUUUAUUGGGUUUAAAGGGUCCGUAGGCGGACUGAUAAGUCAGUGGUGAAAUCCGACAGCUUAACUGUCGAACUGCCAUUGAUACUGUUAGUCUUGAGUAAGGUUGAAGUGGCUGGAAUAAGUAGUGUAGCGGUGAAAUGCAUAGAUAUUACUUAGAACACCAAUUGCGAAGGCAGGUCACUAAGUCUUAACUGACGCUGAUGGACGAAAGCGUGGGGAGCGAACAGGAUUAGAUACCCCAGUAGUCCC